rnacentral:rRNA from 1 species
AACAGAGGCGGCAAGCGUUAUUCAUGAGGACUGGGCGUAAAGGGUGUGUAGGCGGGCAUUAAUAAGAAGGCUUGACAGAAAUGUUUGUGUAUCGACACAAAUCUGUACUCGCAAUGUUUGUCUCCGAGAUAUUAGCAAGUUAAUGGAAAGCGAUAUUGAAGGGGCUACCAGCUCAAACAUGUCGAGUAACAUCAAUGGCGAAGGCAGUUAACUAGCAAUAAUCUGACGCUGAUGCACGAAGCUUGUGGGAGCGAUAGGG